GACCGAUAGUGAACUAGUACCGUGAGGGAAAGGCGAAAAGAACCCCUGUUAGGGGAGUGAAAUAGACCCUGAAACCGCGUACGUACAAGCAGUGGGAGCCGACUUGUUCGGUGACUGCGUACCUUUUGUAUAAUGGGUCAGCGACUUAAUGUUAGUGGCAAGGUUAAGUGUUAACGGAGCCGUAGCGAAAGCGAGUCUUAACUGGGCGUCCAGUCGCUAGCAUUAGACCCGAAACCGGGCGAUCUAUCCAUGAGCAGGUUGAAGGUGCCGUAACAGGCACUGGAGGACCGAACCCACUCCCGUUGAAAAGGUAGGGGAUGACUUGUGGAUCGGAGUGAAAGGCUAAUCAAGCUCGGAGAUAGCUGGUUCUCCUCGAAAACUAUUUAGGUAGUGCCUCAUGUAUAACCACCGGGGGUAGAGCACUGUUAAGGCUAGGGGGUCAUCCCGACUUACCAACCCUUUGCAAACUCCGAAUACCGGUGAGUUCAAUCAUGGGAGA
rnacentral:rRNA from 1 species